ACUGGACUCAGCACUGGCACAGAGGCAGCACAGCUAUGUGGGAAGAACACAGGCUGGUCUGCAGGUGUCUAGAUUUGGAUCCUAGCUCUGUUACUUACUACUUUGUGACUUUGAGCAAAUUCACGUCUCUGAAAGAUAAGGGAAACUGAGGUACAGAGGAGGGGAAGAGCCAUGAUUGACUUCAUGCAACUCAUCAGGGAGGGCACCCAGAUUUACACGUGGAUCUGUGUCACUACAAAGCAGUGCCCUUGACUUAACACUCCAUCACUUUCCAUACAAGCUUCAAACUGAACUCCACCUUCAUUAGCUUGGUGAGCGCAGACCGCUGAACUCUUCUAACAUCUGUCUUAGAGGUUAUGUGUUGGCUGCUGCGUUCAGAGCUAUCCUAAAAGUAACUGAAACAAGGGAUUUUUGACUCCAUGGCUAAACAGUUUCUGGGGAGCAGACCUUGAUUCUACCAUUACUUAGAAAACAAAUCAAAUUAGAGUCAGACUAGUGAUGUUGUCAGAACUUUUCAAACAUAAAGACCCAUGAAUGGACAUGUACACUUGGGAUCAAAAGCACUCUCCUCUUCCAAACAGCAGUCUACACUUGGCCUUUUGAGAGGCUGAGCUAUUGCCAAGGACUAUUUAGAUGGAAGAUUUGAUUGUUGGUCAAGGAGACACUGAAGAAGAGAUAAGAUGGUGUACUGGAAUGGAAGGAAGGCUCUGGACAUCAGAACUUUGGGCCACUGUACUGCUGUGUAAAUUUGCGAAACCUACUUAAUCCUUAUGGACUGUUUCCUCAUCUGGAAAAUGAGUUAAAUGAGAUCCAUUUUAUAAAAUUGUUGUAAUGAUUAUAUAAGUAAACACAUAGUAAUAUUAUUUGAUUUUAUUAUUAUUAUUAUGACUUGUCACUCAAAGCAUUUAGCUUUGGUGUCUCUAAUAUUCAGUACUCACAUUUAUGUUCAAAUUUGGAUGCUAGGUAGAAAUGAAGACUUUGUAUCUGCCACCAGAGAAGGCUAUUUAUUAUUUGUCAUUGCCUGUCACGAACUCACAAAGAUAGUAUUUGCCUAUCCAAAGGUAUCUAAUUCCUCAGUUUCUUAUGUGACUAUAAAGGGGCCUACUUUGAUCUUACCAUGAACUCAAAUCCUUUCGAAAUUUCAAUUUGUCAGUUUUGAUAUUUGCUUCUCUCUCUUUUCUACUCCUCUUAUCCAGGAAAGGAGGCACAUUGUAGUUUUUGACUUAAUAAUGGGACCUAUAUUAAUAGUAAAGAAAGUUCAGAAGCCAAGAGAAAACCUGUGAAAUGAUAAAAAAAGGUAGAUGGAUAUAUUUUUUUAAAAUGUUCUGCCAAACACCUUUGAAUUGGCACCAUUGGGAAUACCUUUCAACAUGUAGGUUUAAGAAAACAUUUAGCUUUAUAAAGCCGCAGAGAAAAUCUUGUGAUAAAAUUAGUCAGAGUUGAGUAGAAAUGGAUUAAAGAAGGAACCAAAGAAUUUAACUCAUCAGCGAGAGGGGAUAAAACCAGGUCCUCGACCUGGAAUUCCCACAGGGUCAGGGCUCUCCCCAGUGUUUUUUCACUGCUGGUUCCACAGAUGACAGAGGGGAUGGGUGGAGAGAUAUGUUAUCCUAGACUGGUCACUUGUGCAAGCAGACCACAAUUGGGAGGAGGUCCACUAGUAUUUGAGGAAAACUAUUUAGAAGUGGGCAUCUUCUAAAUAGUUGGGAAUUAUUGAAAAGCAUUAGCCCAUUAGUUGUGAGAUAGAUGGAAGAUCAUGAAUCAGAGCGAUAUUAGAGUUUUCCUUUAUCUGGAGCUGGAUAGCCCUAAAAUAGCCAGGGAGGUGGUGUAGAUGGCCACAGUGGAUAGUGCACUGUGAGGCUUCCUGCUGGCUGUAGUUGUCCAAGGAAGAUGGACCCAUUAUGGGCAUGGGCUUCUCAAAAGGCUUGUCAUGGUCAAAAUGCUUCUGAGUUAUUGGAAAAACAAUGGUGUUCAAGGGCUGGGCCAUCAUUUGGAUCUUUCCUUGAGGUCACUAACCCUGUAAUGAAGAAGCACCUUGUCACUGGACACAAUGCUGGUUCCUGGCUGCUGGGGAUGUUCUAACUCUGGUGGAGAGCUAACAACAACAUGAGUCACCUUACACUUACCUGCUGUGCCUUUCGCUUAAGACUGUUUCUGUCACCGGGUGUCAUGGACAGCAGUUGGCUCCUAAUGUGACAGGCUGGCUUCAGGGAACCAACUCUCCAUUACUCUGUGCUACAGAAUACAUGCAGACCCAAGGAAGAUGCUUGUCUGCCUGUCUGGUCCAUCCAGGGCCAUGACCUUCAAAUACACUCUAACCCCUGAGCCCUGUCUUCCUUCCUAACAUUUGCUGGUGAAAGGUCUGGCCUCAGCAUCUCUCUCAAAAAAAAAA
rnacentral:lncRNA from 1 species